rnacentral:lncRNA from 1 species
AGCAAACCGCCGACCAUUCUUACAUGUUCGUUCAGUACGACGUAAGGGUUGUGUAACUGCCACCAAUCCUGCGCCGCACGGCGGACGUGGCGCUUUGCCCUCUGAAGGCGGUAGUCCUUCCGACCUCCUCUUCCUUGCCGGCGGUGGUUCUCUCCUUUCUUCUUCCUGCUAGAUUUACUUACUUAUAUACCUUACAUAGUUAAUUCCUUCUCCGUAAAUUACUAAUUGUUUUGCACAUUAGCAAUUAUUAAGGUUGUUCU